rnacentral:tRNA from 1 species
UCCCUGGUGUCUCAGCUGGUAAAGAAUCCACCUGCAAUGUGGGAGACCUGGGUUCAAUCCCUGGGUUGGGAA